AAGGAGCAUCUAGAUCCCGCAAGGGAUCCAGAGCCACAACGUCGGCGAAUGUCCGACGGUGGUUAGCUCAUGGGUGGAACGUUGAUUAUUCGGCACCUUGAGUCAUCUCAGGCUGUGAGUACUGUCCCUUCGGGGGCGUGGAAAGCUGAUCUGAGUGGUGAGGGUGUCGGGCACGCUGUUGGGUGUCUGAGGGUAUGGCCGUAUGGCUGCCUUCAGUGCCGGCCCCAGUGCACUCCGGUGGAAACCGGGGGUGAUGGGUGGUUGGUCGUUGUUUGAGAACUGCACAGUGGACGCGAGCAUCUGU
rnacentral:misc_RNA from 1 species